AGAAGAGACUACAAGGCAAACCCACAUACAAAUAAAGGGUGACCCCUCAAUAUACAAAUAUCAACAUCAAAAUCCUGCUACACAAAAUUAUAAACCAAAAUCAACACACCAGAAGCCAAAAACACCAAGACAGUAGCCCGCAACAAAAUUGAAACUAUUACCAUUGNNNUAGUAUUACAAUUUAAGAUGCAUGGACAAAUCAAUGUGAAACUGCAAGUAGUAAAGAGAAUCACCUGCCUCAGUCAAGAGAACUAUGAAUGUGUAUAGCUCAAGUAACAUAUCUCAUGUACAAAACAAAACUAUGAAUUUUAUUUAAAUAAAUGAAUGAACAAUAGCUUUUUUUUUGUCACUAUAGUUACAUUAUAUUUCCUAUUCUCAUUAACAAUUGCUUCUCUCCCUUGCAGCUGCAAAGUGAACACUGACAUGCUUCUUCUUUUCAAAUCUCAGCUUGUUGCNNNNNNNNNNNNNNNNNNNNNNNNNNNAACACUAGUUCAUAAUAGAAGGACAACAACAUUAUAAUAUAGAUAAGGUGAUGCUUACCUGAACAAGGCAAAUAGUAAUAUUCCUUCUUUGAUUUCCAUAAAGUUAUAUCAACUGCAUGCAUUCAAAAUUGACACAUCCAUUGAAGAAGGCUGCAUGGAACAAAGAAUGGAUUUCACAUAAUACCACAUAGUAAACAAAUCAAAUUAAUUUCACUUUCCCAUAUCAAUCUAUCAUUCAAAUUGGUUACAGAAAGACAUGACAACACACAAUUUAAACCAGAAUGUUAAUAAAUUAACCUCAAACUAACUUCGAUUAUUUGGAAAUCCUUCAACGAAUAAAAGGUGGAAGCAGGUCAAAAACCGUAUUCUCAGAAGAACAAUUGCACACAUUGCAGAAAUACAGAUUAAACUAAAAAAUGCAAAUAAGUGAGAAACCUUUAUUGACAUUCUGAACCCUAGAUCUCAUGUCCUCCACUUUUGGUUAAGUUCAUAGUAACAUGAUCUGGAACCAAAUAAGUUCACAAUCUGACUUCUGAAGAAAGCUCUAAACUAAUGGAAAACCCAGAUUCAUGGAAAACAAAUCGCAAAUUCAUGGACUUCUGAAGCGUUUUCGGAAGAUAGAAACCGAAUCGAAGCGUUUUCGGAAGAUAGAAACCGAAUCGAAGCGUUUUCGGAAGAUAUAAACCGAACCUAAGCGUUUUCGAAAGAUAGAAACCGAAUCGAAGCGUUUUUGGUAGAUAGAAAUUGAAUCAAAUCAUUUUCGGUAUAUAGAAACCGAAUAUAAGGAAGAUGAAGAUGUUAAGAUGGCGUUUUCAGAACACAGAAGCGUUGUUGUUCUGUUUUCAUCAACACAACACAACCCAAAAACAUAACAAGUN
rnacentral:lncRNA from 1 species